CCCACCGCAGUGGACCAAUCAGAUAACUGCUGACAUUUUUCUUUAUCUGUCACUGAUCUGACUCACUUUUAGUCACUGAGAUGGAGCGAGUAAGAAGUGCCCUCAUCAUACUGUUUUUGCACAAAACAGAUCCAGUAAAUCCUAUGACCUACAUAUUAAGAACGUCAGUCUGUACGAUGAGGGAAUCUAUUACUGUGGUAAAACAGAAAGAAUAUUCACAGAUGUAAAGGGCGAGUUACACUCCAAGCUGGAGUAUCAGUAUGGAAAGAGGAGAACUCGUCUCUCUCUGUUGGAUGGAUCCUACAGAGAAGCAUCAAUGUAAGAUGUGUGGAACUGGAAGAUUCAGCCUCCACUCUGAACUACCAUCUACUACCAUCUGGUCAUCACUUUGCUAAAAUGUGACUCUCUCUGCCCACAAUUUAAUUUACUGCUGCUUACUGCACUCACAAAGCUGAUUAGAUAAACUCUCUUAAGACAGUGGUAAUGAU